rnacentral:rRNA from 1 species
GCUUGACAAUUAUUUUUUUAUAUUUACUUAGACUGAAAUUAUUUAUUUAUAUUAAAAAAAUUGUUUUGUUGGGGUGACAAUAAAUAUAUAUUUAACUUUUAUCAUAGUAUUAACAUUAAUUUAUGACUUUUGGAUCCAAAAAUUUUGAUCAUUAGACUAAGU